UCACGGGUAGCUCAGUCUGGUAGAGCAGCUGCCUUAUAAGCGGCAGGUCGCAGGUUCAAAUCCUGCCCCGUGCA
rnacentral:tRNA from 1 species